AAGUUCUGAAGCUGCCUUUCAGGAACAAGCUUUAGUCCCAGUGUGUGGUGAACUCAUGGCUGCAAUUGAGAAGAAGCCAGAUGGGACUUUAUUUGAAUUCCUGUUUCAAUGGUUCUGUGAUGUCCCCUUAGGCCACUUGAUAUUAUACACCUUGCAGAAACUGAUGCUUCCUGGACUCCUCACAUGUUGUUCCUUGCUGGCCAUAUUCUUCUUAGUUCUUCCUUAUGACCAACAUCCUGUCUGGGUUGAACCCAAGGGCUCAAAUCCUUGGCCACAGUUAGAGUUACGGUACUUACGGCCACCACCUAUGUAAUAUCAUCCCCUUUCUCAAUUUGUGCAGCAGAAAGAUGUUUGGAAUGUGUUGUUUAUCCCAAAAAAUAUAAAAAAAUAACUUGCAAAAAUACUGUAAUCUGAAUCACUUCAAAGCUCUAACUUCAGGUGAAAGUUAUAUAAACUCAAAUAGAUCUCUGAUAUUUUGGCCUAUUUUUUUAUAUAUAUCAUGUACAGUUAAGUGUAACUGGUAAUAUUUGGAAACCCACAGUGGCUCUAUACAUAGUGGACUUCUGAGGGUCAUGUUCCCCUGUGCAUUUUUAAUUUUUAAAUGAAAACUGCCCCCAAUUGGUGCAGUUUCACCAUACUUUGAGGGCCACUUGCGUGGUUUCAGGGGUAUUAAUCAGAUGCUGAUAUUAUAUGGCUGCACUGUAAAGGACCAGAGAGAUACCUAUAGUACAAGCAUCCAUGUUACUCCCUGCUAUAGUUACCAGUCAUACUCCACUAUUUACAUACUAUUCUUUUCUAGAGUAAUAGUCACAGUUAACAGAUCACUGAGAUUUCCUUUAUUCUGAUCCUGAUGCCAUUAUAAACUUGUAACUACAAAUUAUACAGCAAAUAUGGGAGUCCCAAGCCAUACCGGCAAACACUGCUUGUGCUGGAGGUAUACUUUACUCCUGUUCCAUCUUCUCCCCCUCCACAAAAUAGGUCCUCUCUGAAAUGAUUUUUUCUAUCCAGAAAGUACUGAGACCAGAAAUGAGUUCAACAUGAGCAAAAAAUUCACCAAGCACUAUCCACCCUCCUACAAAGUUUCCUCUUCAGCCAUUAGCUGAACCCUGUUUGCAGAAAUAGGUACAGAGUCACAUAAAGAUAAUCCAAUUAAUGUUUUGAAAAGAUUGGAUAUUUACAGUUGUUAUUGGUCUAAUGCUUAUUACUGUACAUUCCAAAUAGGAUUCAAGGCUACAUAUAGAUACAUGUCUGUAUCUCUAUUAUGAAUUCUACUCUUUUCUGAUACAACUCGGGAAAAGACAUCACAUGGUGGCAAUAACAUCCUAACAUAUUGAUAGGUUUACAAAAUUAGAUUACAGCAAAUAAAAUACUCCAGUUCCCCAUAGUUUCCUUCGGACUCUACAUUCAUUCCCAAACAUGGGGUAUCAGGUCCCUAGAGAGGAAAAUCUAGAUUGUGCCAUUUCAAAAGCUGCUGGCUUUAACUGAGAUUUUCUUGUCAGGCCUUCCUCACUUUCCUUUGUUGCUUCAAGACAUAGGCACUCGGUGAUAUAGAUUUGUUUCCAAAGCAUUUCUUCCAAAAGCUUAAAAGGCAUUUGAUCUGUCAUGAAAAGAAAUAGCUAUGUGGCCCAUGCAUAAAAUCAAACUUAGACCACUUUUUGUUAAAAGAAAUAUUAAGUUUUUGUGUCCCUCACAACUUUUGAUUGUCACAAAGCAUAGGAUGGAAGACAUAUACAGUAGAGUCUCACUUAUCCAAGCCUCGCUUAUCCAAGCCUCUGGAUAAUCCAAGCCAUUUUUGUAGUCAAUGUUUUCAAUAUAUCAUGAUAUUUUGCUGCUAAAUUCGUAAAUACAGUAAUUACAACAUAACAUUACUGCGUAUUGAACUACCUUUUCUGUCAAAUUUGUUGUAUAACAUGAAGUUUUGGUGCUUAAUUUGUAAUAUCAUAACCUAAUUUGAUGUUUAAUAGGCUUUUCCUUAAUCCCUCCUUAUUAUCCAAGAUAUUCGCUUAUCCAAGCUUCUGCCAGCCCGUUUAGCUUGGAUAAGUGAGACUCUACUGUAUAUGUCUUCCAAAAUUAUCCUGGCUAGAUGUUUCAGCCAUAGGAGCUGUAAUUACUGAUGUCCCAAAAUGAAGCCUUCAAAAAUUAGUCUGAAGGACAAAAUUUUCAGCAUCUACAUUUCAGGCAGAACCUGAGGUAGAAUUAGCUGCCUUUCUCCAUUUCUCCAAAGUGUGCAGGCUAUUCAGGAAUGUAAUAUGCUUAGAAGGCUGUAUUCCCCACUUAAAAAGAGCUCACUGUCCCUGGGAUACUGGGAUAAUUAACAAGAGAACAAUCCAUUUCCCCCGUUAUUUUUCUUCUCUGAUUGCUCCAAUAGGUAAAAUAUACAUCCCCUUUAGAAAAAAUAUCAGAUCUUGUUUCGGGUAGCUUAUUCACAGGUUUAUUCCAAGUGGUGGCAUUUAUUGUACAGUUCCUCAGGACCGUGGAAAAAAGACCAAAUGAAGUAAACAAUUGGUUUGAAAGGUGUUGUAGAAGGGCAAGAGGGAAAGAAGGAAAAUGUCAAAUACACAACUGGACAAAAUCUGAUGCUUUUAAGUAUUAUUGUAAUCAUAAUUCAUACUUCUGGUAUUCUUUUCCUGCAAAUUCCCCUCCCAUAUCCAGGACUAGGAGACCAAGUAGAGAGGGUGUUAAGUGAUCUUUGGAUCAUAUUCUCUUUUUAAAAAAUCUGUCAGUCUAUAUACUCCAAAGACCUGAAUACUCAUUUAGUAAAGGCUGCAACUGUAGCAGAUUAUAUUAAAAUGUCUUGGUACUGAUAUCCAACCGUCUUCAAAAGAACAGUUGCUUAAUGCAUAUCUAACAGAUGCCACUGCCUUCAGUAUUGGAAAACUUUACACUAGUAACCUCAACCUAUUUCUCUCUUAGGAUGUUGAUGUGGCCUUAACAUUA
rnacentral:lncRNA from 1 species